UACGUAGGGUGCAAGCGUUGUCCGGAAUUAUUGGGCGUAAAGAGCUCGUAGGCGGUCUGUCGCGUCUGCUGUGAAAACUCAGGGCUUAACCCUGAGCUUGCAGUGGGUACGGGCAGACUAGAGUGCGGUAGGGGAGACUGGAAUUCCUGGUGGAGCGGUGAAAUGCGCAGAGAUCAGGAGGAACACCCGUAGCGAAGGCGGCACUCUGGGCCGAUACUGACACUGAGGAGCGAAAGCGUGGGGAGCGAACAGG
rnacentral:rRNA from 1 species